rnacentral:rRNA from 1 species
GAUGAACGCUGGCGGUCUGCUUAACACAUGCAAGUCGAACGAGUGGCGGACGGGUGAGUAACGCGUGAGAAUCUGCCUUCAGUUGGGGACAACAGUUGGAAACGACUGCUAAUACCCAAUGAGAAGAGCUCGCGUCUGAUUAGCUAGUUGGUGGGGUAACGGCUUACCAAGGCGACGAUCAGUAGCUGGUCUGAGAGGAUGAUCAGCCACACUGGGACUGAGACACGGCCCAGACUCCUACGGGAGGCAGCAGUGGGGAAUUUUCCGCAAUGGGCGCAAGCCUGACGGAGCAAGACCGCGUGAGGGAGGAAGGCCUUUGGGUUGUAAACCUCUUUUGUCAGGGAUGACGGUACCUGACGAAUCAGCAUCGGCUAACUCCGUGCCAGCAGCCGCGGUAAUACGGGGGGUGCAAGCGUUAUCCGGAAUUAUUGGGCGUAAAGCGUCCGCAGGUGGUUAUCCAAGUCUGCUGUCAAAGCGCGAGGCUUAACUUCGUAUCGGCAGUGGAAACUGGGUGACUAGAGUAUGGUAGGGGUAGCGGGAAUUCCCAGUGUAGCGGUGAAAUGCGUAGAUAUUGGGAAGAACACCGGCGGCGAAAGCGCGCUACUGGGCCAUUACUGACACUCAUGGACGAAAGCCAGGGGAGCGAAAGGGAUUAGAUACCCCUGUAGUCCUGGCUGUAAACGAUGGAUACUAGGUGUUGGUGCCGUAGCUAACGCGUUAAG